GUUUCUCUCUCUCUCCAGCUCAGACACUGCAUUUGUAGACUAACACUCACCCACACACAAACACUCUCACACUCGCACUGGGGGUCUCCGACUCCCUCUCCGCCCAUAUGUUAAAAAACCCUAACCAAACCCAUUCUCUCCAUUCUUCAUUGCUCUGGAUCAAAUCAAAUCUCUCUGAUUCCCAAACAAAUCCCUAGAGAAUGCCACCGCAGCUACCGCAUCCGCCGACCAAUCCUCGCCGUCUCGACUCCAAAAUCUGGCGAGCCUGCGCCGGAAACUCCGUCCAAAUCCCCGCCGUCCAUUCUAGGGUUUACUACUUCCCCCAGGGCCACUUGGAGCAAUCCUCUUCUCGCCCCACCUUCCUCCCCUCUCCAGUCCACUCCAGGCCCGCCGCUCUCUGCCGGAUUUCCGCCGUCGACUUCCUCGCCGAUCCGAUCACCGACGAGGUCUACGCGAAACUCGUUCUCCAACCUACUAAUCCGCAGCACUCCUCUCAGUUCCUUGAACCUUCCAGGAACCAAUCCGAUCGAGACGACGCCACAGGAGAGAAUGAUAAGGUCGUUUCCUUCUCAAAGAUUCUCACGCCGUCCGACGCCAACAACGGUGGAGGCUUCUCCGUUCCGAGGUUCUGCGCCGACUCCAUCUUCCCGCCGCUAAACUACCAUGCUGAGCCGCCGGUCCAGACCUUGUCCGUCACCGACGUACACGGCGCGGUCUGGGAAUUCCGGCACAUCUACCGCGGCACGCCGAGGCGCCACCUGCUUACCACCGGCUGGAGCAAGUUCGUGAACUUCAAGAAGCUGGUCGCCGGCGAUUCCGUGGUGUUCAUGAGGAACUCGACGGGCCAGAUGUUCGUCGGAGUCCGCCGCGCCGUGCGCCCGAGCAAUGGCGAUUCCGCCGCCAGGUGGACCUUGCAUAUCGGCGGACCAACGAGAGCAAAGGCGGAGGAGGACAAUGCCGAGGGGUUCUCGAGGAGCGGGAGGGGGAGGUUAACUGCGGAGGCGGUGGUGGAGGCCGUGGAGCUUGCAGCACAGGGAAUGGCGUUCGAAGUGGUGUACUAUCCGAGGCCGGGGUGGUCCGACUUUGUGGUGAAGGCGGAGGUGGUGGAAGAAGCUAUGACUGUGCUUUGGACCGCCGGUAUGAGAGUGAAGAUGGCAAUGGAAACUGAGGAUUCAUCGAGAACGACGUGGUUUCAGGGGACGAUUUCGGCCGUUUCGGUGUCCGAAGGGGGGAAUUGGCAGGGCUCUCCCUGGCGCAUGCUUCAGGUUACAUGGGAUGAACCUGGAGUCCUGCAGAAUGUCAAGGGAGUGAGUCCUUGGCAAGUUGAAUUCCACCCACCAUCAGAACCACUCCAUACUGCAUUCCCUCCCUCAAAGAAAUUUAGAACCCCACAGAAUUCUGGGCUGCACACAGAUGGAGAGGCCGACAUUUUCUAUCCCGUCACAACUAAUUCAACAAUGGGGCACUUGAGCCAAUCAUUUUUGAAUUAUAACACUUUUCCUGCUGGCAUGCAGGGAGCCAGGCAAAAUCUAUUCAGCAAAUCCAGUUUAUCCAACUUAUUAAGUGAAAACAAUAUGUGCAUUGAUAAUUCCUUUGGAAACAACACGGUGCCAAAGUUGAAAACUGUGUCUACUGAGCUGAAUAUUGGCAGUUCACUCUCUGGAAAUUUAUCAUCAGAUAGCCAGAGUAGUGUGCACUCCUUCGGCACGGAAUUUGUUGGGACCCAGUGCUGCACCUCAACAAAAGUUGGUGCUAGUUGCUUUCAGUUGUUUGGUAAGAUCAUCCAUAUGAAGCAACCUGUUGAAAGUGGUUUUGAUGACAUUGGUUGUACAGAAGAUGAUGGGGUUAAAAGAUACAGUGAAACUGAAGGCAUAAUAAACAACCCACUAGAUCUUUCUUUGACUUACACGAAACUGCUUGAUAGACUUGAUGUCCAAUGUGAGAGAGCCUCAGCUGUUGAGGCAUGUACUUUGUGAACUACUUGUUGCAUCUUUGUCAUGAAAAUAACUGUACAGGAGGUAUAUGUGGGAUUUUUUCUGGGGUUGGUAUUGUCAUAUACAUAGGUACUUCAGGCAGACAGGCAGACAGGCAGGCAGGAAGCUGAUUACCAUCUGACCCUUGCAGUAGUUACUUUGUUAGGCUGGUUUGUUUUAGUUUGUCAUGUUGGAAACUUGAACCUACUUGGUUUUUGGUGUCUAAAUCAAGUGCUGAUGUCUAUGUGAGAUGUUAUGUGAUGUUUGAAAUUACGGUAUUUGACUUAAAAUUUGGGGUUAUUUGGUUGUGAAUGGGUAGGGAUUAAAGCCUAUUCCUUGACAAAAAGCAGUCAAGUCUAAUUCAAAUUGCAGUCA